CGGGCGGGUCUAGUAUAAGCAAUUAUACCGUGAAACUGCGAAUGGCUCAUUAAAUCAGUUAUCGUUUAUUUGAUAAUACCUUACUACUUGGAUAACCGUGGUAAUUCUAGAGCUAAUACAUGCUGAAAAUCCCGACUUCGGAAGGGAUGUGUUUAUUAGAUAAAAAACCAAUGCCCUUCGGGGCUUUUUGGUGAUUCAUGAUAACUUUACGGAUCGCAUAGCCUUGCGCUGGCGACGGUUCAUUCAAAUUUCUGCCCUAUCAACUUUCGAUGGUAAGGUAUUGGCUUACCAUGGUUUCAACGGGUAACGGGGAAUUAGGGUUCGAUUCCGGAGAGGGAGCCUGAGAAACGGCUACCACAUCCAAGGAAGGCAGCAGGCGCGCAAAUUACCCAAUCCCGACACGGGGAGGUAGUGACAAUAAAUACUGAUACAGGGCUCUUUUGGGUCUUGUAAUUGGAAUGAGUACAAUUUAAACCUCUUAACGAGGAACAAUUGGAGGGCAAGUCUGGUGCCAGCAGCCGCGGUAAUUCCAGCUCCAAUAGCGUAUAUUAAAGUUGUUGCAGUUAAAAAGCUCGUAGUUGAAACUUGGGCCUGGCUGGCGGGUCCGCCUCACCGCGUGCACUCGUCCGGCCGGGCCUUCCUUCUGAAGAACCUCAUGCCCUUCACUGGGCGUGCUGGGGAAUCAGGACUUUUACUUUGAAAAAAUUAGAGUGUUCAAAGCAGGCCUUUGCUCGAAUACGUUAGCAUGGAAUAAUAAAAUAGGGCGUGCGUUUCUAUUUUGUUGGUUUCUAGAGACGCCGCAAUGAUUAACAGGAACAGUCGGGGGCAUCAGUAUUCAGUUGUCAGAGGUGAAAUUCUUGGAUUUACUGAAGACUAACUACUGCGAAAGCAUUUGCCAAGGAUGUUUUCAUUAAUCAGUGAACGAAAGUUAGGGGAUCGAAGACGAUCAGAUACCGUCGUAGUCUUAACCGUAAACUAUGCCGACUAGGGAUCGGGCGAUGUUCUUUUUCUGACUCGCUCGGCACCUUACGAGAAAUCAAAGUUUUUGGGCUCCUGGGGGAUAAC
rnacentral:rRNA from 1 species